rnacentral:rRNA from 1 species
GAUGAACGCUAGCUACAGGCUUAACACAUGCAAGUCGAGGGGAAACGAUAUUGGAAGCUUGCUUCCGAUAGGCGUCGACCGGCGCACGGGUGAGUAACGCGUAUCCAACCUGCCCACCACUUGGGGAUAACCCUGCGAAAGUAAGACUAAUACCCAAUGAUGUCCAUAGAAGACAUCUGAAAUGGAUUAAAGAUUUAUCGGUGAUGGAUGGGGAUGCGUCUGAUUAGCUUGUUGGCGGGGUAACGGCCCACCAAGGCGACGAUCAGUAGGGGUUCUGAGAGGAAGGUCCCCCACAUUGGAACUGAGACACGGUCCAAACUCCUACGGGAGGCAGCAGUGAGGAAUAUUGGUCAAUGGGCGAGAGCCUGAACCAGCCAAGUAGCGUGCAGGAUGACGGCCCUAUGGGUUGUAAACUGCUUUUAUAAGGGAAUAAAGUGAGCCUCGUGAGGCUUUUUGCAUGUACCUUAUGAAUAAGGACCGGCUAAUUCCGUGCCAGCCGCCGCGGUAA